AGCCCUAGCGAGCCCACUCCCUCUGUGCAGCUCCAAACUUCAUUCCUCUGCUUGGACCGCAAGUGGUGACCUCUCGCUCUCAAAAGUCUAUCUUCCAACAUGAAAAAGCUUCAGAAAACCUUGUAAGCAUUGGCCGAUUGCGACUAAGAAAUUACAUGCAAUGGAUUCUGUUCUACCAUGGUUUUGGAUUUUUCAAGGCAUUCAUGUUGAAGAAAUUGAAAGCCCAGAUCUCAAAGCUUUGGUAUCUAAGGCUCAUCAUUAUUAUGGGAGCACACGCGAUUUGAAGGAGGGAGAAAAGCUCUUCUUAAAAGAGUUUGACAAUUACCUAGCUUCUAGUACCAAAGAUUCAAACUCUCCGGAAAUUUCUGAUGAUCACAAGCGCAUCUCUGAUCCUGGAGAGUGAUUUGAAAAUGUUCAACUCAAAUGCAAGAGGGCAAAUGGAGCAUGUUCUAGCACCAGUAUAGAAUGGAGGCUGAUUUUUGUAGAUGAUAUAGGAAUUCUGAAACCUUCAUAUGGAGCAGUGUGCAUGUGUUUCCUAUGUUUUUGUUUGAGGUGUUUGGUUUCUUUGAUGUAUAGUUAAGAGUUAUGAAUGCUUAUGUGACCACUUAAGUUCCUAGGGUUUUUGGGUACUUUGUUAUUCUAAUAUCUCUCACUGGUGUAAUAGUUGAUGUUGAUGAGAGGCCUCUGUGUUUCUCUCUUCAAACAUGCUUUCAAACGCUUUUGUAUAGCACAGCAGGGGAGAGGAUUUUAGUAACAAUAUAUCCAUGGACUUCAUGUGCAAACA